AGAGUUCGAUCCUGGCUCAGGAUGAACGCUGGCGGCGCGCCUAACACAUGCAAGUCGAACGAGAAGCACCUCUUCGGAGGUGUGGAUAGUGGCGAACGGCUGAGUAACACGUGGGCAACCUGCCCCUCUCAUCGGGAUAGCCUCGGGAAACCGGGGAUAAUACCGGAUACUCCGACGCUUUCGCAUGGAAGCGUUGGGAAAGCUCUGGCGGAGAGGGAUGGGCCCGCGGCCUGUUAGCUAGUUGGCGGGGUAACGGCCCACCAAGGCUUCUAUGGGUAGCCGGGUUGAGAGACCGACCGGCCAGAUUGGGACUGAGACACGGCCCAGACUCCUACGGGAGGCAGCAGUGGGGAAUCUUGCGCAAUGGGCGAAAGCCUGACGCAGCGACGCCGCGUGCGGGAUGACGGCCUUCGGGUUGUAAACCGCUUUCAGCAGGGACGAGGCCGCAAGGUGACGGUACCUGCAGAAGAAGCCCCGGCUAACUACGUGCCAGCAGCCGCGGUAAUACGUAGGGGGCGAGCGUUAUCCGGAUUCAUUGGGCGUAAAGCGCGCGUAGGCGGCCAGUUAGGUCGGGAGUCAAAUUUCGGGGCUCAACCCCGUCUCGCUCCCGAUACCGGCUGGCUUGAGUGUGGUAGGGGAAGGCGGAAUUCCCGGUGUAGCGGUGGAAUGCGCAGAUAUCGGGAAGAACACCGGUGGCGAAGGCGGCCUUCUGGGCCAUCACUGACGCUGAGGCGCGAAAGCUAGGGGAGCAAACAGGAUUAGAUACCCUGGUAGUCCUAGCCGUAAACGAUGGACGCUAGGUGUGGGGCGAUGUCGCUCCGUGCCGCAGCUAACGCAUUAAGCGUCCCGCCUGGGGAGUACGGCCGCAAGGCUAAAACUCAAAGGAAUUGACGGGGGCCCGCACAAGCAGCGGAGCAUGUGGCUUAAUUCGAAGCAACGCGAAGAACCUUACCAGGGCUUGACAUGACGGUGAAGCGGCGGAGACGCCGUGGCCGAAAGGAGCCGCCACAGGUGGUGCAUGGCUGUCGUCA
rnacentral:rRNA from 1 species